AGUCGAGAAUUUUUCUCAAUGGGGGAAACCCUGAAGGAGCGACGCCGCGUGGGGGAUGAAUGGCUUCGGCCCGUAAACCCCUGUCAUUUGCGAUCAAACCUUACGACCUAACACGUCGUGAGCUGAUAGUAGCGGAAGAGGAAGGGACGGCUAACUCUGUGCCAGCAGCCGCGGUAAUACAGAGGUCCCAAGCGUUGUUCGGAUUCACUGGGCGUAAAGGGUGCGUAGGCGGUCGGGUAAGUCUGACGUGAAAUCUUCAAGCUCAACUUGGAAACUGCGUCGGAUACUAUUCGGCUAGAGGAAUGGAGGGGAGACUGGAAUACUUGGUGUAGCAGUGAAAUGCGUAGAUAUCAAGUGGAACACCAGUGGCGAAGGCGAGUCUCUGGACAUUUCCUGACGCUGAGGCACGAAAGCCAGGGGAGCAAA
rnacentral:rRNA from 1 species